AGUAUACUGUAGGUAAAGGAUAGAUAAUAGACAGUAACAGCAGUAUACUGUAGGUAGGGGUAAAGGAUAGAUAAUAGACAGUAACAGUAUACUGUAGGUAGGGGUAAAGGAUAGAUAAUAGACAGUAACAUCAGUAUACUGUAGGUAGGGGUAAAGGAUAGAUAAUAGACAGUAACAGCAGUAUACUGUAGGUAGGGGUAAAGGAUAGAUAAUAGACAGUAACAGCAGUAUACUGUAGGUAGGGGUAAAGGAUAGAUAAUAGACAGUAACAGCAGUAUACUGUAGGUAGGGGUAAAGGAUAGAUAAUAGACAGUAACAGCAGUAUACUGUAGGUAGGG